rnacentral:rRNA from 1 species
GACGAACGCUGGCGGCGUGCUUAACACAUGCAAGUCGAACGGAAAGGCUCCAGCUUGCUGGAGUACUCGAGUGGCGAACGGGUGAGUAACACGUGGGUGAUCUGCCCUGCACUUCGGGAUAAGCCUGGGAAACUGGGUCUAAUACCGGAUAGGACCGCACUUUGGUGUGUGUGGUGGAAAGGUUUUUCUGGUGUGGGAUGAGCUCGCGGCCUAUCAGUUUGUUGGUGGGGUAAUGGCCUACCAAGACGGCGACGGGUAGCCGGCCUGAGAGGGUGGACGGUCACAUUGGGACUGAGAUACGGCCCAGACUCCUACGGGAGGCAGCAGUGGGGAAUAUUGCACAAUGGGGGAAACCCUGAUGCAGCGACGCCGCGUGGGGGAUGAAGGCCUUCGGGUUGUAAACUCCUUACGCUAGGGACGAAGCUUUUUGUGACGGUACCUGGAGAAGAAGCACCGGCUAACUACGUG